rnacentral:snRNA from 1 species
AGCUUUGCGCAGUGGCAGUAUCAUAGCCAAUGAGGUUUAUCCGAGAUACAAUUAUUGCUAACGGAAACUUGGAGUGAGUCCAGGGAUAUAUAGUUUGAAAAGUUUCCCCCACGGUUUUCUGAGAUAGACCCAGAGGUC